AAAAAGACAAACCCUAGGUUUUCGUGUACAACUUUAACUGUUCGUUUUAUAUGAAAUUUUUUUAUAAUUCGUAUUUUCAUUAUUGUUAGAUGAUAAAACGUGAUUAAUAUUUUAUGCGUGACUUGUCUUUUAAUUUUUUUAUAAUUUUUUCAAAUAAGAUGGACGGUCAAACGUUGGGCACGAAAUCCAGGGUUUGUCUUUUU
rfam:Oryza sativa (indica cultivar-group) chromosome 6, whole genome shotgun sequence.